rnacentral:snoRNA from 1 species
UUGAAUGAUGUGGAAUCCGGGAACUGAACAGUGAGGAGAAACACGAACACUGAUU